rnacentral:rRNA from 1 species
UACAGAGGUCUCAAGCGUUGUUCGGAUUCAUUGGGCGUAAAGGGUGCGUAGGUGGCGCCGUAAGUCGGGUGUGAAAUUUCGGAGCUUAACUCCGAAACUGCAUUCGAUACUGCCGUGCUUGAGGACUGGAGAGGAGACUGGAAUUUACGGUGUAGCGGUGAAAUGCGUAGAUAUCGUAAGGAAGACCAGUGGCGAAGGCGGGUCUCUGGACAGUUCCUGACGCUGAGGAGCGAAAGCAUGGGGAGCGAACAGG